CCUAACACAUGCAAGUCGAACGGUAACAGGAAGAAGCUUGCUUCUUUGCUGACGAGUGGCGGACGGGUGAGUAAUGUCUGGGAAACUGCCUGAUGGAGGGGGAUAACUACUGGAAACGGUAGCUAAUACCGCAUAACGUCGCAAGACCAAAGAGGGGGACCUUCGGGCCUCUUGCCAUCGGAUGUGCCCAGAUGGGAUUAGCUAGUAGGUGGGGUAACGGCUCACCUAGGCGACGAUCCCUAGCUGGUCUGAGAGGAUGACCAGCCACACUGGAACUGAGACACGGUCCAGACUCCUACGGGAGGCAGCAGUGGGGAAUAUUGCACAAUGGGCGCAAGCCUGAUGCAGCCAUGCCGCGUGUAUGAAGAAGGCCUUCGGGUUGUAAAGACG
rnacentral:rRNA from 1 species